rnacentral:rRNA from 1 species
GAUGAACGCUGGCGGCGUGCUUAACACAUGCAAGUCGAACGAGUAACCCUUCUUCGGAAGGUCAUAAAGUGGCGAACGGGUGAGUAACACGUGACCAACCUGCCUCUCACAUUGGGAUAACUUAGAGAAAUCUAAGCUAAUACCAAAUACUCUUGAUCUUUCGCAUGACGGAUCAAGGAAAGCUUUCGCGGUGAGAGAUGGGGUCGCGGCCCAUUAGGUAGUUGGUGGGGUAGAGGCCUACCAAGCCGAUGAUGGGUAGCCGGGUUGAGAGACCGACCGGCCACAUUGGGACUGAGAUACGGCCCAGACUCCUACGGGAGGCAGCAGUGGGGAAUUUUGCGCAAUGGGCGAAAGCCUGACGCAGCAACGCCGCGUGCGGGAUGACGGCCUUCGGGUUGUAAACCGCUUUCAGUGGGAAAGAUAAUGACGGUACCCACACAAGAAGCUCCGGCUAAAUACGUGCCAGCCGCCGCGGUAAGAC